rnacentral:rRNA from 1 species
UACGGGGGGAGCAAGCGUUGUUCGGAUUUACUGGGCCGUAAAGGGUCGCGGUAGGAGCGGCCACCGCAAGUCGACUGUGAAAUCUCCGGGACUUAACCCGGAAAGGUCAGCCAGAUACUGCGGGGCGUAGGAGUGCAGAAGGGGCAAGCUGGGAAUUCUCGGUGUAGCGGUGAAAUGCGUAGAUAGUUGCUCGGAAGGCCGGAGCCGAAGGGGCCCACUGGUACGCAACUGACGCUGAGGCACGAAAGCGAUGGGGAGGCAAACAGGG